CCUACGGUAGGCAGCAGUGAGGAAUAUUGGUCAAUGGACGCAAGUCUGAACCAGCCAUGCCGCGUGCAGGAAGACGGCUCUAUGAGUUGUAAACUGCUUUUGUACGAGGGUAAACGCAGAUACGCGUAUCUGUCUGAAAGUAUCGUACGAAUAAGGAUCGGCUAACUCCGUGCCAGCAGCCGCGGUAAUACGGAGGAUUCAAGCGUUAUCCGGAUUUAUUGGGUUUAAAGGGUGCGUAGGCGGUCGGAUAAGUUAGAGGUGAAAUCCCGAGGCUCAACUUCGGAAUUGCCUCUGAUACUGGUCGGCUAGAGAGGAGUUGCGGUAGGCGGAAUGUAUGGGGUAGCGGUGAAAUGCUUAGAGAUCAUACAGAACACCGAUUGCGAAGGCAGCUUACCAAGCUACUUCUGACGUUGAGGCACGAAAGCGUGGGGAGCAAACAGGAUUAGAUACCCCAGUAGUC
rnacentral:rRNA from 1 species